ACUUUCUACGUACAACAGCAUUCCAAGGGAAUGAAAAGCCUUUGUUUUUUGUUUUUUUUAAUUCAGUCCAGCUUGGCUCUUAGCAUUUUUGUUCAUUAUCACAGCAUAUUUCUCUGUCCAGUUUUAGUGUAACGGACAUGAACUGAUGUGGAUGCCCGCCUCCACCUCUGCAGAUGUUAGAAUGAAGCCAGUGAGCAGCAGUGUUCACAGUUCCAUAGGAAGUAGAGUCAGUUAUUUAAGUAUGUAAUUUCUGAUUGUUUUUUACAAACAAGCCAAAACACAUUCAAACAGAGAGCAGUAGCAGGAAUUGAGAUUCAUUUUCACAAUUCUACAAAUGACAGUUUGAAUACAAUUUUCCUUAGGACACUGAAGGCAUCACUGGCUUCACUCUGCCUCUACCUGCUGAGUUACUUCUGCUUUUUGUUCUGCAUCACAGAGCAGUUUGUGACAUUUUAUAAGAACCCAGACUGCUGUCGUUUGUGGGCAACACUGCCACACACUGCCUCGCUAUGUGGAGAGAGAAAAACAUUUUGAUUUUAGGUUAUUUUUCACACGUGAUUUGGCCACACAAUGCUUCGUUUCUUUUGUAGUUGUAAUAAUCAUCAUCGCGUGGUCUGACGUUGCCUUUGGACAGUCCUGUAAAUGUAUUUAAUGUGUCCAUAUUAAAGUGCUCACAUUUUGUACAAUAUUAGUUUACAGUUUGUUUUGUUUGGUUUGUUUUUUUUGUCAAGAGUUGCUUUUAUUUUCCAUUAAGAACAAAAAAGUGGAGAUGUAAUUUACUCGCCCCCAGGUGGCUACUAUAAGAACUUCAUCAGUGGAAUUGUAUGAAAACAGAGGAACUAGAUCACACUGAACCUUCAAAGUUGUUUUUUUUUUUUUUUUUAAUAUCUCUGUCUUUUGUUUAAUUUCAGCACAAAACAAAGUAAAGAGAAGUUCCUUAGUUUGGAGUCAUUUUGUUGUUACUACCUCUGUCCCUCUUCUUCCUUGUCCAGAAUGUUUCUGCCAACUUCUUUCCUGAGGCCUUUCAGAGCUGACAGAGAGCUGAACCUGCUUUACUACUUCACUGACCGCAUUCAGGUUUCUCUCUGUUUUCAAAUGUUCAACAAUAAAACAAUAAAAAAAAUUGACAAGCAAUACACGGCUGUCAAAGGGUGCAACACAACUUUUUGGGGUAUAACUUUUUUUUUCUUACUUUUUUUUGAGCUGAUCCACAUUCCAAUUCAGUUGCUCCCCACUGACACAAACUGUGUUUAAUGGACGUUGGUGUCGGUGUUCCCUCCAGGUCACUGAAAUACCAGGAGCUCAGUGAGAUUAAAAGCUAUAAAACUUAGAAGGAAGGUUUUGUGCUGGUGUAGUCAGAUAAUGACUUCCUUUCAGACUUUGACACAAUAACCAUCUAUUAAAAUAACAGCCUGCUCAAAAUUAUUAAUUUAUUUUUAUCAUCACCGUUAAUUAUGAUCAAUCCUUGCUACUGUCGAUGAUUUUGUGGAGCAGGUUUGUCCUGACGUGUGUGUGUGUUGAGUGUGAGUGCACUUUCAGUGAGUUUUCAUUUAAUGUUUGUGCAAAAAUGCUCAUAUUAAGAAUUUUGUUUUUUUUUUUAAAGAAGAGGAUGAGAGAAAACCAUCUCGGCACAAGUUUGGUUUUUGAAUAACUUAAUGGUUUUAUGUGAUUCUAUGCUGCAAUCCAAAGAAUAAACUUGUAUUAUAUAAUACAUUCAAAAUAUUCUUUUUUAUUUAAUCAUAUGAUCAGAACAUCGGUAAAAGAAAAGAAAAAUAAAAGAAGAAGGAUUUUAAACAGUGGUUAUGUGCCUUAUUACUUGGAAAAAACCGUUUGUAGACGUUGGCAAAAUGUGGUUUGAAAACCAUGUGAAUGCAAAUAGUAACAGAGAAAACAAUAGGAAAAUCAAGCUGCUGGGGAGUUGAGUGGUGAUUGGUGAAAACUUCCAGUGCUUACAGGUGAUUGGCUGUUGUUUUAAGACACCUGUUCGUGAGCGAUCCGCCGGUCGCCAUCUUGGACUUCCGCUCCUUCGUCGCUCAGAUUCUUUCUCGUUUGUUACAUUAUUGAAGAUGUCAUUUGAUUCUGCGAGACAAAGAAAUGGCACGGAUGGACAAAAGAAGGAACACUCACUAGCGGACCAUGUGCAAAGAAACAAGUGUCUUCCUGCUGUGAAAUGCAUCACAUCCUGUCACUCAGCAGACAUAACGUCAAAUUCCCGAAGAAGCAGCGUUUGAAGCCGACAAACACGUCUCCUAAUUUAAAUA